rnacentral:rRNA from 1 species
GAUAAACGCUGGCGGCGUGCCUAAUACAUGCAAGUCGAGCGAACGGACGAGAAGCUUGCUUCUCUGAUGUUAGCGGCGGACGGGUGAGUAACACGUGGAUAACCUACCUAUAAGACUGGGAUAACUUCGGGAAACCGGAGCUAAUACCGGAUAAUAUUUUGAACCGCAUGGUUCAAAAGUGAAAGACGGUCUUGCUGUCACUUAUAGAUGGAUCCGCGCUGCAUUAGCUAGUUGGUAAGGUAACGGCUUACCAAGGCAACGAUGCAUAGCCGACCUGAGAGGGUGAUCGGCCACACUGGAACUGAGACACGGUCCAGACUCCUACGGGAGGCAGCAGUAGGGAAUCUUCCGCAAUGGGCGAAAGCCUGACGGAGCAACGCCGCGUGAGUGAUGAAGGUCUUCGGAUCGUAAAACUCUGUUAUUAGGGAAGAACAUAUGUGUAAGUAACUGUGCACAUCUUGACGGUACCUAAUCAGAAAGCCACGGCUAACUACGUGCCAGCAGCCGCGGUAAUACGUAGGUGGCAAGCGUUAUCCGGAAUUAUUGGGCGUAAAGCGCGCGUAGGCGGUUUUUUAAGUCUGAUGUGAAAGCCCACGGCUCAACCGUGGAGGGUCAUUGGAAACUGGAAAACUUGAGUGCAGAAGAGGAAAGUGGAAUUCCAUGUGUAGCGGUGAAAUGCGCAGAGAUAUGGAGGAACACCAGUGGCGAAGGCGACUUUCUGGUCUGUAACUGACGCUGAUGUGCGAAAGCGUGGGGAUCAAACAGGAUUAGAUACCCUGGUAGUCCACGCCGUAAUCGAUGAGUGCUAAGUGUUAGGGGGUUUCCGCCCCUUAGUGCUGCAGUUAACGCAUUAAGCACUCCGCCUGGGGAGUACGACCGCAAGGUUGAAACUCAAAGGAAUUGACGGGGACCCGCACAAGCGGUGGAGCAUGUGGUUUAAUUCGAAGCAACGCGAAGAACCUUACCAAAUCUUGACAUCCUUUGACAACUCUAGAGAUAGAGCCUUCCCCUUCGGGGGACAAAGUGACAGGUGGUGCAUGGUUGUCGUCAGCUCGUGUCGUGAGAUGUUGGGUUAAGUCCCGCAACGAGCGCAACCCUUAAGCUUAGUUGCCAUCAUUAAGUUGGGCACUCUAAGUUGACUGCCGGUGACGAACCGGAGGAAGGUGGGGAUGACGUCAAAUCAUCAUGCCCCUUAUGAUUUGGGCUACACACGUGCUACAAUGGACAAUACAAAGGGCAGCGAAACCGCGAGGUCAAGCAAAUCCCAUAAAGUUGUUCUCAGUUCGGAUUGUAGUCUGCAACUCGACUACAUGAAGCUGGAAUCGCUAGUAAUCGUAGAUCAGCAUGCUACGGUGAAUACGUUCCCGGGUCU